GCGGGGGUGCCCGAGUCAGGGCAAAGGGGGCGGACUGAGGCUCCGCUGGCGAAGGCCUGCACGGGUUCAAAUCCCGUCCCCCGCA
rnacentral:tRNA from 2 species